rnacentral:rRNA from 1 species
AAUCAACGCUGGCGGCGUGCCUAACACAUGCAAGUCGAACGCGAAAGCCCUUUCGGGGGUAAGUAGAGUGGCGUCCGGGUGAGUAACACGUAGGUAAUCUACCUUCGGGUGGGGAAUAACUCGCCGAAAGGCGAGCUAAUACCGCAUAAUGCAGCGGCACCAAAUGGUGAUUAGUUGUUAAAGCGGGGGAUCGCAAGACCUCGCGCCUGAAGAGGAGCCUGCGGCAGAUUAGCUAGUUGGUGAGGUAAUGGCUCACCAAGGCUUCGAUCUGUAGCUGGUCUGAGAGGACGGCCAGCCACACUGGCACUGACACACGGGCCAGACUCCUACGGGUGGCUG